rnacentral:pre_miRNA from 1 species
AAUGGCAUUGCUGGGUCAAUUGGUGGUUCCAUUCCAGAUUUUCUAAGGUAUUUCCAUACUGCUUUCAAAAGUGGUUGUACCAUUUUGCAAUCUCAUCAGCACU